GGCGCGAAGGCGCCAGCUGUUCGAUCUGUCUCUCGCGGACUUGUGAUAAACACGUGAACUCUGAUUGUGAGUACCGUCUGACCCGGCGCAUGUCGAAGUCAAAUUGCGCGCGGAAUCCUAUCUGGAUUCGCGCGAUUAACGCUCCGUUUUUAUUCUUAAUGAAUAAUGUGAUUGCAAAAAUAAAGCAACUCGCCAAAUAAUUCUAAGUCUCAGAUUCAAGAAUGCCAAGAUAGUAAACAGGAAGUAUAUUUCGCUGCUGUUAAUUAACGUUCCGUCAUACUUCGCCAAUCCAUAUUCAACUGCAAAUCGACUUGACGCCGUAUGAAAAUUAUUUCUCGACAGCGAGAGCUCAUUCGUAUUCCGUUAAACAGAUGUACCGACAAUUCCUCGUCUCGUUACGUUACGAAGAUGAGAGAAACGGAAGGGAAGGAAUCCAAGAUGAGAACGAGAAACGGGAAGGUAAUGAAGAUGAGCAAGGAAACACAGGAGAGCGAAGGAGGGUAACACGUCUAAGGCACUUUUCUAGAUACGCGAGAGCACAGCGUUAUUCAAUUAACGAAGGUUAUGCUGCUCGUCGCUUCUGCCUUCAUUACCUAAACUUCGUCUAUUCCUGGUUUUCCUAAUUUCCAUUUCGGAAUUAAUAAAUUUUUUGAAAUAUUCGAGGCUGAUGUGAGAAUUAAAAGAACUGCGAUAAAUCGAGCCGCAAGAAAAAAAGAACGUAAAAUUAACGUUAUGCAUAACAAUGAUUAAAACAUUUUCUGACGUGACGUGAAUUAUUUCUUCAUUUUUAAAAUAAAAAAUUAUUUGCAAUCUA